rnacentral:misc_RNA from 1 species
AACCAUAGAAACCUGCGGAGUACCUGCGGAGGGAUCAUUACAGAGUUGCAAAACUCCCUAAACCAUUGUGAACGUUACCUAAACCGUUGCUUCGGCGGGCGGCCCGGGUCCUUCCCGGCGCCCCUCGGCCCUCGCGGGCGCCCGCCGGAGGUAAACCAAACUAUUGCAUUGUAUGGCCUCUCUGAGUCUUCUGUACUGAAUAAGUCAAAACUUUCACAAUGGAUCUCAGAUCGGAAGAGC